AUGACGAUCAUCUACAGCUGCAUUGCUAAUGGCCCAGCGGUCCUAGCGGAGCUGACACGGACUGGAGGUUCUUCCCAGGAAGCAGUGGCAAAAGUGCUUAGAUUAGUGCUUCUGAACCAAAGACCAUAAUUCAAAUGGGAAGCUAUGUUUACCAUACUGUCUUUAUUGAUGGAAUCACUUAUGUAUGUGCUACAGACAAUGCUUUGGAUUCUGUGACACCAUCUGCAUUUCUUAAAAACGUUAGUGAUACUUUUACAAGAAAUCCUUUGAUGUCACAAGAACAUAUUUUCCUUCAAAUGCAUUUGCUGCAGAUUUUCAACAAGUGUUAGGAAAGUAUAUGGUAUGUAACCUCAAACUGUACUCCUAAGUAUUACCAAUGAAAUACAAUAAAAACCAAGGUGACCGCACCAUUUCCACAAUGAGCCACCAAGUGCCUGAUGUAAAAAAUGUUAUGACACAAAAUAUUGAUAAAAUUUUGGAAAAAGAAGAUUGAAUACCUUCCUUGAUAGAACAGAUGAUCUCUAAACAACUGCCAAAGGAUUCCAAAAAACAAGAAAGAUUCCUAAGAGGAUUUGGUGGAAAUACUUCAAAAAGAUCAUAAUUAUCACCGUUGCAAUCCCCCUUUCAAUUAUUAUCAUUCUUUUAAGUACAAAUGUAAUACCAACAUGACC
rnacentral:sRNA from 1 species